UACCUGGAGGCCAGAGACUCUAAUUCGGAGUUGUACAGAGAUUUUUCAAAACCGAUUCCGGGAAAACAGCCAGCAUAUGCCGAAAUAGCGGCUUCGGGUUGCUUCGUAGAGAAUUUGGAAUUCGAGAUUUCUGGUUUCAAAACGGAUUUUAAAAAUACUAACAAGCCAACGGACAUUUAUGGCCAUAGCCGCUCUGGACGCACGUCCGAAAUUAAAAUGAAACUUGUAGAAACCACCUAUUAUGAGCGGCAAAGUGAUGUAAAAAUAGGUAUGAUAUUGUUUCGCGAUUAAGAUAAAUCGUUCAGUGAUUAUCUUGAAAACAGCAGUAAUACUACAUAAACCAACACGAAGAAUCUAGGAUCUGAUAUCAUAAAUAUACAUUGACAUGUCUCAAUAGUUAAUAAAAGAAUA